UGAUCUUUCAUUAAAGGCAUGAGAAUACUUUCAGACAAUAUCAUAGGUUUUCUAAGCCGCGUUUGUCUCAGUUGACUCCCAGUAAUUCCAUAAAGAAGUUCCAGUAAAUUGGGAAUGGACAGUUACUUUAAUGUAGAGAUUUUCUUUUUUCUGGUUCUUGUCUGCAUAUUGGUUUCCUUCUGCCACUUCCAGCUAGUAAAAGUCAUGUACUGUGACAUGACUAGUAUGCUACAGAAACAUCUGUAGUUAUUGUACCACGUUGAAGAGCAUGCCAUGAGUGGUAAAUGGAUUUGAAGAAACAACAUUCCCUCUAAAAGGAUUGCAAGAAACAAAGAAACCCCAAAUUCUUCAGAUUAAAAAGCAAGGUGAAUUUUCUUAUGUACCCAGAAUUCUUUAAGCUGUUCUUGUGACUUGUCUCCUACAUCCAGAUUUUCUCUCUAUUCCUAACUGUUGCAUGGCCACUGAUUAAAAGUAUAAGGGUAAACAAUUGAAAUAUCCAAUAAGGUACACUUUUCUAUAACUAAUGUUUUCAUUGACUUGCAGGCAGUUGUGGCACAGGAUUUUCAUUUUUAACAUGCCUACAGUAAUUAUCCAUGUUUCACUGAUGUUUAUUUAUUGUUUAAUUAAAGUGCUUUUCAGAGAAUAAAAAAGACCAUUAGGAUAAAACAUUGUGUCAAAAGCAAAAAGUUGCAAUAAAAUUCAAGCAUGGAAAUGUCUUCUGCUGGCUUCUGUAUAUUUAUUUGCCAUGUUCUGGUAGCAAGCUUCAGAUAAACAGAAUAUUAUGUUACUCUAAAGUAAUGUUCUCUGUCAUAGUUUCAGCUGGGAUAUAAUCGUUUUCCUCAGAGUGUCUGGUAUGAUGCUAUGUUUUGGUUCUAGGAGAAAAACACUGUUGAUAACACACCAGUUUCCAGUUGCUCCUAAGCAGUGUUGUAGAGAGCCAAGGCCAUUUGCAGUGAAAGGCCCAAGGAACUGGGAGGGAACAGAGUUAGGAUAGCUGAUUUCAACUGGCCAAAGGGAUGUUCCAUACCAUAUGAUGUUGUAUGGAAAGAUUUUGGAAGAGAGUGGCAGCUUUUUUUCCAAUAUGGAUUCAGGACAAUUUUUUGGAAAAGAGCUGAUUAAAAAGGAAAGGCAGUUAGCAAUGACAAUAAUAUUUUGAGGAAAAGUAUCACAUCAUAUAUAUGUCUAAUAAUUUAAUCCAUCUUUGUAGAGAACACUGCAAAUGCAUUUUAUUAAAAGAUACCCUGCUAGAUUUGAAGCUUAAAUUCAUUAAUCUCCUUGAAUUUUUACACUUGUCUGGUAUGAUUUGAAAUACUUACCCUGAUGCAUCAACGGAGAGUAAUCAUCUGCUUGAGUUUAUGGGAAUCACUAUCACUGUGAGAUGCGGGAAAUUACAUGUGUAACUUCAGAAUGCUAGAAAAAGAGAAAUGUAAAUGCUUUUACUGAGGUGUGUGAGUAUUUCUUAAAUGUUUCUUAAAAAAUCCUUUCCUUUUAAUUAAAGGUUAAACAAUUAAAUUGCUGCACACGUUUUUGAUGUUAUUUUUGGUUUAUAGUUUUUUAACUUUUCUGGCAUGACCAAUCCAUUUUCAUUCUCAUUGGAAGGUCCAGAAAAUUCUUAAAAGCAAAAUUCUUUUAAUUACUGAUUCCUAGACCUGGCUUUAUUUCAGAUCUUUGAUUUUUGCAUAUCCUCUGAAGUUAACCCUUUUAUAAGAAGAGAUGCAAAUGGGAAGGGUGACUUUAGGACAGUCGGCAUCUCUGUGAUAAUGCCUGGACAGAGGUUCCUGGAUAACUUAGAGUUCAAUCACAACAUCUCAGUCUCUAAAUUGUGCUUAAGAACAUAAAACUGGGGGAACACUCCAGAGCCAAGGUCUAUUGGAGAGCAGCAUGCUCUGAUUAGGAUUUGUUUGUCCCUUGGCAAAGAGUGUCUGUUGGUAGCUGUUACAUAUGUGUAUGGCCUCUCUGUCAGCUGGUGCUGGAGCUCCUAUACCAGAAAUGUAUCUGUUAGAUAUCCAGGUCUUCUUGUUC